CUGUCGAAGUCGCUUGUUUACACCGGACUAAUUUUGAAUCCGGUGGGGAGCACAGUAAUAUCCUACAACCAACAACCGUCCGAUGAGUAUUACAUAAAUUUGACCAGCAUUAAAGUCAACGGAAAAGCCGUUGAAGUCAACAUCUCGCAGCUGGCCAUCGAUGAGAACGGGUUUGGAGGAACGAAGCUCAGCACCGACACUGCAUAUACCACUUUAGAAAGUUCUAUUUACCA
rnacentral:misc_RNA from 1 species